rnacentral:rRNA from 1 species
CUGAUCCAGCCAUGCCGCGUGAGUGAUGAAGGCCCUAGGGUUGUAAAGCUCUUUCAACGGGGAAGAUAAUGACGGUAACCGUAGAAGAUGCCCCGGCUAACUUCGUGCCACCAGCCGCGGUAAUA